rnacentral:lncRNA from 1 species
GAUAACGCUGCCGCCGCCGCCUCCCCGCGCACGGGCAGUGUGGCCAGGGGCGGCAGCCAGAGCAGCAGCCACCACCGCCCUUGGCGCGGCCCCAUUUCGUUAGGGGUCAGCUCCGUGCGACCCGAGCCCUAGGGGACCGGCUCCGCUGCGAGGAGCGGAAGUGGCGCGGGGGCUCAGAGAAGGCGGAGGGGGCGGUGAGGCCCGAACGCGGGAAAGGCGGAGACCCCGCCUCCCCGGGGCGGAGGGAGAGUUGGGCUCGUUGCUCCAGCCUCCGCCCGCGGCCUCGGGGCACGGCGGGCCCAGGCCGGAGGAGCUUUCGGUGGCGCGACCCCGCUGGCAUGCUCCCGGCCUCGGCCUCGGCCUCGGCCUUGGCCUCCGGGCCUCCAGCGCACGCGGGGCGUCCAGGGCCUCAUCUUCCCCUGGGGACCGCCCGGCCGUGUCCCGCUGCCCUCGGCGCAGGGGUGGGAGUUGCAGAGAGGAAGAGUCGCUAACCCGGAGUGUUUCUUAAAACUUGGCUGACCUGUGACCUGCGGAUUUGGAGGCUGAAUUCUCCGAGCACCUCACUUCUCUCCUGCUGCCUUGUGAAGAAGGACAUGUUUGCUUCCCCUUCC